rnacentral:piRNA from 1 species
UGGGUAGAGUUUUCUGUAGCCAGAGUA